UUUUUUUUUUUUUUUUGCCUUUUUUGUUCUUGAUGAUCCUCAAGGAAACACAACCUGGAGUGCCUUAAAAAUAACAACAACAAAAAUCCUGUGUGCAUCUGGCUGACACUUCCCUGCUUCUGGUUUUCAAAGACUAUUUAGUGGAACCUUGCAGAGGAGCAGGGUCUUCCUACAGUGUCUGGAAAACAGGUGCUGUGUUUUCAGGACCUUGCGUGAAGAGCAAGCAGGGCUCCUGUGGUUUCCCUGGUCCCUCUGAGAUGGGGACAGACUGAAGACAGGUCUUCUGCCUUUCAAAGCAAGUCAACUUGCUUUUUUCUAUUUUUAGAGUGGAAUCUAGGAGGCCACU